rnacentral:rRNA from 1 species
UACGGAGGGGGCUAGCGUUGUUCGGAAUUACUGGGCGUAAAGCGCACGUAGGCGGCUUUGCAAGUCAGAGGUGAAAGCCCAGAGCUCAACUCUGGAACGGCCUUUGAGACUAGAGGACUUGGGUACGGGAGAGGUGAGUGGAAUUCCGAGUGUAGAGGUGAAAUUCGUAGAUAUUCGGAAGAACACCAGUGGCGAAGGCGGCUCACUGGCCCGUUACCGACGCUCAGGCGCGACAGCGUGGGGAGCAA